rnacentral:lncRNA from 1 species
GACUGAUAUAUACUUUUCUCUAGGAUAUAUUUUGUACUUGUUGGGCAAUCUUAAUAAUCAAUCAUGUUUAUGUGCCCAUGAUUUGUCUUAGAAAUUAACAAAGAUGAUUUUGUAUAUUCUCGUGUUAAAAAUUUAAGACAUACAUCAUUAGUGAUUAAUUUCUAAAUACUCUCGAUCGAAGGAUCAUCAUGGAGGACAGUGAUCAAUCUAUUUGAGAUCAGUACACAGAUCACCUCUCUUUAGGAUAGAUAAGUCUCGAGUCUGUGGUGUAGAGAUGCUGGGAUGAGAGUGCAGGUGGUUGUUAGAGAACA